CCUACGGGGGGCAGCAGUGGGGAAUAUUGGACAAUGGGCGAAAGCCUGAUCCAGCCAUGCCGCGUGUGUGAAGAAGGCCUUCGGGUUGUAAAGCACUUUCAGUGGGGAAGAAAGCCUUGGGGCUAAUACCCUCGAGGAAGGACAUCACCCACAGAAGAAGCACCGGCUAACUCCGUGCCAGCAGCCGCGGUAAUACGGAGGGUGCGAGCGUUAAUCGGAAUUACUGGGCAUAAAGCGCGCGUAGGCGGUCUGAUAAGCCGGUUGUGAAAGCCCCGGGCUCAACCUGGGAACGGCAUCCGGAACUGUCAGGCUAGAGUGCAGGAGAGGAAGGUAGAAUUCCCGGUGUAGCGGUGAAAUGCGUAGAGAUCGGGAGGAAUACCAGUGGCGAAGGCGGCCUUCUGGACUGACACUGACGCUGAGGUGCGAAAGCGUGGGUAGCAAACAGGAUUAGAUACCCUAGUAGUC
rnacentral:rRNA from 1 species